rnacentral:rRNA from 1 species
UAAAAUUUAUAAAAUUAGGUAAUAAAGAAUUUUCUGAAACCUAAAGAAUUUGGCGGUAUUUUAAAUAAUUGGAGGAACCUGUUAUUUAAUUGAUAAUCCACAACAUAUCUUACCUAAAUUUUAUUUGUAUAUCGUCGUCUUGACAAUAUUUAAAAAUUAUUAUCAAUAUUAAUAAACUUUUUGAAAUCAGAUCAAGGUGCAGUAUAUUUAGGAGAUAAUGGGUUACAAUAUAAAAAUAUAAACGAAUAUAAAAAUGAAAUUAUAUUGAAGGUGGAUUCAAAAGUAAAAUUAAAUUAAAGUGUUAAUUUGGUUAAUAAUUUAAAAUAUGC